rnacentral:rRNA from 1 species
GUUAGGAAUAUUGGACAAUGGGCGCAAGCCUGAUCCAGCAAUGCCGCGUGCAGGAAGAAGGCCUUCGGGUUGUAAACUGCUUUUGUACGGAACGAAACGGUCCGGGUUAAUACCCUGGGCUAAUGACGGUACCGUAAGAAUAAGCACCGGCUAACUACGUGCCAGCAGCCGCGGUAAUACGUAGGGUGCAAGCGUUAAUCGGAAUUACUGGGCGUAAAGCGUGCGCAGGCGGUUUUGUAAGACAGGCGUGAAAUCCCCGGGCUCAACCUGGGAAUUGCGCUUGUGACUGCAAGGCUGGAGUGCGGCAGAGGGGGAUGGAAUUCCGCGUGUAGCAGUGAAAUGCGUAGAUAUGCGGAGGAACACCGAUGGCGAAGGCAAUCCCCUGGGCCUGCACUGACGCUCAUGCACGAAAGCGUGGGGAGCAAACAGGAUUAGAAACCCUGGUAGUCC